AACUUACUCCCUCUGUUCCAUAAUUCUUGUCGAAAUAUUACAUCUAUCUAGACACGUUUUAGGAAUAGAUACAUUCAUUUUUGAGUAAAUUUGAGACAAGAAUUAUGAAACAGAGAGAGUAUAUU
rnacentral:pre_miRNA from 1 species